rnacentral:rRNA from 1 species
GACGGGGCCCGCACAAGCGGUGGAGCAUGUGGUUUAAUUCGAAGCAACGCGAAGAACCUUACCAGGUCUUGACAUCCCCUGACAACCCGAGAGAUCGGGCGUUCCCCCUUCGGGGGACAGGGUGACAGGUGGUGCAUGGUUGUCGUCAGCUCGUGUCGUGAGAUGUAGGGUUAAGUCCCGAAACGAGCGCAACCCCUAUCCCAUGUUACAAGUGUCUUGGGAAACUGCCUCGGUAAAACGGGAGGAAGGUGGGGAUGACGUCUGGUCCGCAUAGCCCUUAUGUCCUGGGCUACACACGCGCUACAAUGGUCGGUACAAUGGGAAGCCAAAUCGUAAGAUGGAGCUAAUCCUCUAAAACCGAUCUCAGUUCGGAUUGUGGGCUGAAACUCGCCCACAUGAAGUUGGAUUUGCUAGUAAUCGUGGAUCAGCCAUGCCACGGUGAAUACGUUCCCGGGCCUU